UCCAAACUAGCGUCGUUGUGUCCAACUUAUUCAUUAUCAUCCCUAUAAUCUCUAGGUCAAUACUUUUAUUUUCCGAAUUCUUCUUGAUCAUGCCCAAUUUAAAUGUGCUUUGAUACUAAUUUGGUGAAGACCCAAUAUAAUAUUAUUAGUUUUAAAUAAAAUAAUAUUGACAAUAAGAGAUGUCAACUUUUCUUCUAAGAUCAUAGCCUCCCUAUCAACCAAAGGCUACCUAAAAUACCAAAUACCAAUAUUCAUCUCCCCUGGUUCAAUUCAGUCACAUUUAUUUAUACUACCCUAUAUAACUUCCAAAUUCAAAUAUUCAUCCAAAUCAUUUAUUUUAUCCUAAUCUUAAAUAUCUUAUCCAAAUCAAAUAUAUUAUCCUUAUAAAAUAUUUUAUUAAUUAAUUAAUCAGUAUUAAUAUUAUUGUUGUAAUAAUUAUAAUUAUCUAAUCAAAUCCUAAUGCUCUCCUAACAAUUUUCUGGCCUUCGCCACUCAUGUAUUGCCAUGCGGGGUUGCUGGUAUGAUCUUGGAAUCUUCUUGCUCCUGGAGCACCACUUUUUGAUGUCGAACUACUGCUAUUUCCCCAUUCUCAGCUUUUUGGUGUUCCUUUGCUGCUGCCCCUUCAUUCCUCCCUCUCUUUCUCCUACGUGAAUAAACGUUUUUGGUCAGAGUUCUAUGAGUUUGUGAGUAGGAAGUCUUACAAUUUGUUUGAUUUUCAGGUAGAGUUAUGUUUUGUUGCUAAUGUCAAAACUCUAAUUAAUUUGUGUGCCCAUUGAAAGAUCAACUAUCUUAUCGAUUGGAACUUAAGUGAAAAAUUUAGUUUAUUCUUGGUUUUGGUCAACUAAUAUUUUUCUUGACAGACUAUAAGACUGAUUAUGAUUUGUUGGUCAUUGGUUGUGGCACAUUAAACUUCAUAAUUUUAUCCAUGUCAUGCUCUAUCUGUAAUAUGAAUGAGAUGCUAUCUGCUUUCUCAAUGUCUUGUUGAAAAAAUUCAUCAUAAUCAGCUGAGAAAGCAUUGUCUACAGGUUUUAUUUCAGGACUUCUCUACUCCGUUGGAGAGAGAUAUUUUAUCAUCAGAUAUGUCAGCAUAUAAUGUGGCGAUGCUGCUUUUGAAGAUUUUAUUAGGUGGCAUUCCCCUGGAGAUUGGGUCAAUGAUGAAAGUGAAAGAAGUGGUGGAUCUGGAGUUCUGACAUCGAAGGGUUCACAGGAUAAUUGGCUUCUUUGAUGACUUUCACAACGAAUGUUUAAGCGUGGGGAACUUGUGGCAAAAUUUUUGGAAUAAUGGCCCCAUUCGCCAGCUUCUGAGCUGAAGCCACUCUUGGAUCCAAAUCGGGAAUGAGAAAAAAGUCGGGAAAAAAAAAAAGUACCCAACAAGAAGCACUCAUGAGCAUGGGAACUUGUAUUCACAAUUUUCCCAGUAUUUCCUUUAGCUUUAAUCCUCACUCAUUACAGUAUCUUGAAUUCCACAGAUCUUUACCUUGAAACAUUGUGACCCUAUCAGCUGCUUGAACAAAUGGUUUGCAUCGCCUUCAGAGCAUCAGCCAAUACACAAAGUCAGACUAAUUUUGGAGGCUUGAAGCAGAUGACAAUGAAAAAAGAGCUAAUUUACAUUACUAUGGCAUCUGUACUGAAGCCUUUGCAAGGUGCAACCCUUUUUUUCUCUUCAAUAUCUUGUUUGCCAGUAUUUGGCCUAGUUUAGUGAAGUGUGGAUUGUAUUGGCUGCGGUGAAUAAUUUAUCUGUGGAUUGUAUUGGCUGUGGUGAAUAAUUUAUCUGGCGACAGCAAGACUGUAGAAGACCUAAGAAAGCUUUGUGUUGUCUUUGAGCACAUUGAAAGCUGAUAACUCUAGCAGCUCUUUAGCAUAAGAUCUUGCAUGCACCACUCCUUGCUGAAGCAAUUUUUAAUGAAUAUUACAACUUUUAGCUUCCAAAA